rnacentral:rRNA from 1 species
AGAUGUGUAUAAGAGACAGCUAUUUAGGUAGUGCCUCGAGUAUGAGACUGAUGGGGGUAAAGCACUGUUAUGGCUAGGGGGUUAUUGCAACUUACCAACCCAUGGCAAACUAAGAAUACCAUCAAGUUGCUCCUCGGGAGACAGACAUCGGGUGCUAACGUCCGGUGUCAAGAGGGAAACAACCCAGACCGCCAGCUAAGGUCCCAAAUGAUAGAUUAAGUGGUAAACGAAGUGGGAAGGCACAGACAGCCAGGAUGUUGGCUUAGAAGCAGCCAUCAUUUAAAGAAAGCGUAAUAGCUCACUGGUCGAGUUUUCCUGCGCGGAAGAUGUAACGGGGCUCAAAUCUAUAACCGAAGCUGCGGAUAUACUUUUGUAUAUGGUAGGGGAGCGUUCUGUAAGCCUGUGAAGGUGACUUGUAAAGGUUGCUGGAGGUAUCAGAAGUGCGAAUGUUGACAUGAGUAGCGAUAAAGCGGGUGAAAAGCCCGCUCGCCGAAAGCCCAAGGUUUCCUACGCAACGUUCAUCGGCGUAGGGUGAGUCGGUCCCUAAGGCGAGGCAGAAAUGCGUAGUCGAUGGGAAACAGGUUAAUAUUCCUGUACUUUGAUUCAAUGCGAUGUGGGGACGGAGAAGGUUAGGUUAGCAAACUGUUGGAAUAGUUUGUUUAAGCCAGUAGGUGGAAAGAGUAGGCAAAUCCGCUCUUUCUUAACACCGAGACGUGAUGACGAGUGUCUACGGACAUGAAGUGACCAAUACCACGCUUCCAGGAAAAGCCACUAAGCUUCAGUUGAAUCAGAACCGUACCGCAAACCGACACAGGUGGGCAGGAUGAGAAUUCUAAGGCGCUUGAGAGAACUCGGGAGAAGGAACUCGGCAAAUUGAUACCGUAACUUCGGGAGAAGGUAUGCCCUCUAAUGUUAAGGACUUGCUCCGUAAGCAUCUGAGGGUCGCAGAGAAUCGGUGGCUGCGACUGUUUAUUAAAAACACAGCACUCUGCUAACACGAAAGUGGACGUAUAGGGUGUGACGCCUGCCCGGUGCUGGAAGGUUAAUUGAAGAUGUGCAAGCAUCGGAUCGAAGCCCCAGUAAACGGCGGCCGUAACUAUAACGGUCCUAAGGUAGCGAAAUUCCUUGUCGGGUAAGUUCCGACCCGCACGAAUGGCGUAACGAUGGCCACACUGUCUCCUCCCGAGACUCAGCGAAGUUGAAAUGGUUGUGAAGAUGCAAUCUCCCCGCUGCUAGACGGAAAGACCCCGUGAACCUUUACUGUAGCUUUGCAUUGGACUUUGAAGUCACUUGUGUAGGAUAGGUGGGAGGCUUUGAAGCAGAGACGCCAGUCUCUGUGGAGCCGUCCUUGAAAUACCACCCUGGUGACUUUGAGGUUCUAACCCAGACCCGUUAUCCGGGUCGGGGACCGUGCAUGGUAGGCAGUUUGACUGGGGCGGUCUCCUCCCAAAGAGUAACGGAGGAGUUCGAAGGUUACCUAGGUCCGGUCGGAAAUCGGACUGAUAGUGCAAUGGCAAAAGGUAGCUUAACUGCGAGACCGACAAGUCGAGCAGGUGCGAAAGCAGGACAUAGUGAUCCGGUGGUUCUGAAUGGAAGGGCCAUCGCUCAACGGAUAAAAGGUACUCCGGGGAUAACAGGCUGAUUCCGCCCAAGAGUCCAUAUCGACGGCGGAGUUUGGCACCUCGAUGUCGGCUCAUCACAUCCUGGGGCUGUAGUCGGUCCCAAGGGUAUGGCUGUUCGCCAUUUAAA